GAUGAACGCUGGCGGCGUGCUUAACACAUGCAAGUCGAACGGGAAACCUUUUAUUGAAGCUUCGGCAGAUUUAGCUGGUUUCUAGUGGCGGACGGGUGAGUAACGCGUGGGUAACCUGCCUUAUACAGGGGGAUAACAACCAGAAAUGGUUGCUAAUACCGCAUAAGCGCACAGGACCGCAUGGUCCGGUGUGAAAAACUCCGGUGGUAUAAGAUGGACCCGCGUUGGAUUAGCUAGUUGGCAGGGUAACGGCCUACCAAGGCGACGAUCCAUAGCCGGCCUACGCGGGUGAGAGGCAGAAUGGGGAAUGAGCCACGGCCCAGAACCCUCGGGGAGGAGGGAGGGGGGAAGAAGGAAAAAGGGGGGAAACCCUGAAUCUCCGACGCCGGGGGAAGGAAGAAGUUUUCCGGUAUGAAAACUCCUAUCAGAAGGGAAUGAAGGGACGGUACCUAACUAAGAAGCCCCGGCUAACUACUG
rnacentral:rRNA from 1 species